GCCUGUUAUUUUAAAAUACAAGGAGACACGCAAAAUUUCCCACAUGUUACUUUAAAUAAAAUAGUUAAAAUACAAUUCUGUAUUUUCCACGAUUCUUUCCAGUAGAGAUAUUUAUAGAAUGCUUGAAACUAGACUAUUUUUCUGAAUGCGCAGUGUUCUAUAUUUGGCGUUGAGCAACAACUGUGGACGAAAACAAUACAGACAUUAAUUUUUGUAAAAAGAUUCGGUUACACAUGAGUAGCUAAAUAAAGGUGUGAGCAUUCCACACAAAGUUCUGAUUUUGGGUUCCAGCACAAGCAAUCCCAAAUACUCUAAGAUCAUAUGCAUGCAUAUGUCCACAUAUAUAUGUAUAAGAUUUUAUGGGAUACCAUUUGUUUUACUGGUUCAAACAACAGGAUUCAAACCCGCAUUUGAAUAUUGUUUCAAAUUAGCCAAUCACAUUUUGAACCUAUUAAUAAAUUCAUGUAUCAGCAGUGAUCUUUGCAAAUUUAAUAAUGACGUCAGGCAUUUCCAGACAGAAUCACUAUAUAAGGUCAAUGGCCGCAUUAUGCCCUAAACAAUUUGUAAACCAAAAUGGCUGGCACAAGCAGUGAUAUAAAUCGCCAAGAAUGGACACAUAGAAUAAGGAGAUCAAGAAUAGCUGUAGUUGAAACGCACAGCCAAACCAGAAACAGUAACGAACAAUGCAGAUAUGUUUCUUUGGCUAAAACCGGUGUCAUUAUCUACCUUGGCGGCAGAGCAUUCAAUAUUUUGGUUCGAAUUUGUCUUUGUGGACGUUAUGUUAACAAGGAACAUCUACUAUCUCAGUACCUCAUCCAUGCGGAUGAAUUUAAAGAUGGUGCGGAAUUACAUUUGGAUGACAGAUGCCAAUACAACUCAAUCGACGGCCGAUUAGAAAAAGUGUGUUUCUGUCCAAGAGACAUACCCAUACCAUUACCAUAACCAAAGUUCAACAGAGGGCCCAACAUAUGAUGGUGAGCUUUCGGACGGUCGCCACCUUUAGACCGGUCACAAGGAUUCUACUAGUUCCUUUUCUGUUAUGUUUAUGAAUAAACGAUACAAUCAAAUGA